AGGCCCGGGAACGUAUUCACCGCGGCAUUCUGAUUCGCGAUUACUAGCGAUUCCAGCUUCAUGUAGUCGAGUUGCAGACUACAAUCCGAACUGGGACGUUAUUUUUGGGAUUUGCUCCCCCUCGCGGGCUCGCUUCCCUUUGUUUACGCCAUUGUAGCACGUGUGUAGCCCAAGUCAUAAGGGGCAUGAUGAUUUGACGUCAUCCCCACCUUCCUCCAGGUUAUCCCUGGCAGUCUCUCUAGAGUGCCCAUCCAAAAUGCUGGCUACUGAAGAUAAGGGUUGCGCUCGUUGCGGGACUUAACCCAACAUCUCACGACACGAGCUGACGACAACCAUGCACCACCUGUCUCUCCUGUCCCGAAGGAAAGCUGCGUACUCA
rnacentral:rRNA from 1 species